rnacentral:rRNA from 1 species
AAAUUGAAGAGUUUGAUCAUGGCUCAGAUUGAACGCUGGCGGCAGGCCUAACACAUGCAAGUCGGGCGGUAGCACAGAAGAGCUUGCUCUUUGGGUGACGAGCGGCGGACGGGUGAGUAAUGUCUGGGAAACUGCCUGAUGGAGGGGGAUAACUACUGGAAACGGUAGCUAAUACCGCAUAACCUCGCAAGAGCAAAGAGGGGGACCUUCGGGCCUCUCGCCAUCAGAUGUGCCCAGAUGGGAUUAGCUAGUAGGUGAGGUAAUGGCUCACCUAGGCGACGAUCCCUAGCUGGUCUGAGAGGAUGACCAGCCACACUGGAACUGAGACACGGUCCAGACUCCUACGGGAGGCAGCAGUGGGGAAUAUUGCACAAUGGGCGCAAGCCUGAUGCAGCCAUGCCGCGUGUGUGAAGAAGGCCUUCGGGUUGUAAAGCACUUUCAGCGGGGAGGAAGGCGGUAAGGUUAAUAACCUUAUCGAUUGACGUUACCCGCAGAAGAAGCACCGGCUAACUCCGUGCCAGCAGCCGCGGUAAUACGGAGGGUGCAAGCGUUAAUCGGAAUGACUGGGCGUAAAGCGCACGCAGGCGGUCUGUUAAGUUGGAUGUGAAAUCCCCGGGCUUAACCUGGGAACUGCAUUCAAAACUGACAGGCUAGAGUCUUGUAGAGGGGGGUAGAAUUCCAGGUGUAGCGGUGAAAUGCGUAGAGAUCUGGAGGAAUACCGGUGGCGAAGGCGGCCCCCUGGACAAAGACUGACGCUCAGGUGCGAAAGCGUGGGGAGCAAACAGGAUUAGAUACCCUGGUAGUCCACGCUGUAAACGAUGUCGAUUUGGAGGUUGUGCCCUUGAGGCGUGGCUUCCGGAGCUAACGCGUUAAAUCGACCGCCUGGGGAGUACGGCCGCAAGGUUAAAACUCAAAUGAAUUGACGGGGGCCCGCACAAGCGGUGGAGCAUGUGGUUUAAUUCGAUGCAACGCGAAGAACCUUACCUACUCUUGACAUCCAGAGAACUUAGCAGAGAUGCUUUGGUGCCUUCGGGAACUCUGAGACAGGUGCUGCAUGGCUGUCGUCAGCUCGUGUUGUGAAAUGUUGGGUUAAGUCCCGCAACGAGCGCAACCCUUAUCCUUUGUUGCCAGCGAUUCGGUCGGGAACUCAAAGGAGACUGCCGGUGAUAAACCGGAGGAAGGUGGGGAUGACGUCAAGUCAUCAUGGCCCUUACGAGUAGGGCUACACACGUGCUACAAUGGCGUAUACAAAGAGAAGCGACCUCGCGAGAGCAAGCGGACCUCAUAAAGUACGUCGUAGUCCGGAUUGGAGUCUGCAACUCGACUCCAUGAAGUCGGAAUCGCUAGUAAUCGUAGAUCAGAAUGCUACGGUGAAUACGUUCCCGGGCCUUGUACACACCGCCCGUCACACCAUGGGAGUGGGUUGCAAAAGAAGUAGGUAGCUUAACCUUCGGGAGGGCGCUUACCACUUUGUGAUUCAUGACUGGGGUGAAGUCGUAACAAGGUAACCGUAGGGGAACCUGCGGUUGGAUCACCUCCUUACCAAGAAG